GCUCACUGUGGUGUAGUUGAACAUGUGGAAAUCAUCAGGCAAAGUUCAUGCUUUAAUACAAGGCCAUUUGAGCAUUGUGAGGCAUUGCACAAUUUUUGAUGUGAGAUCUGUCAUAGGAUAUUACUGAAGGAUCUGGCGAGUAUUCUUGCACUGCCUAUGUGACAUUUAAAGAUGCCUAUGCUCUGGAAACUGCUGUCUUGCUCAGUGUAAGUUUCUAUUUACACUCCCCUCCCCUGGAUAGGGAAAGUAAGGGUAACUUUAGAAGGAAUUGAUUUUCAAGAUGUUUUUCUACCUCAGCAGUUUCAAUAUUACAAGUCAUUG